GGGGACGUAACAAAGCGACCCAGGAAUGCUUGGGCGUGCCUCCACCCACGCCGGCGUCGGCGGGCGUAUUUCGCCUCACAGUAGGUCGCCGCGACCCGUUGCUUUUGGGGACGUCGAAGGCCCGGACGGAUUGGUACCCUACCGGCUGGGGAUGCGGCUUCGGCUUCUCCUCUUGUCCGGUGGGCGAAACCGCCGGUGUCCUGGCUGCCCUGCGACGGUCGUAGAGACGAGCCCUCCCCAUUCGUGGGGGGCGGCUCUCGCGGCGUGCAAAAGGUCGGUGAUCCACCCGACCCGUCUUGAAACACGGACCAAGGAGUCUAACAUGUGUGCGAGUCAGUGGGCGCACUAAACCCAGAGGCGUAAUGAAAGUGACACGGGUUCGGCUGUCGCCUCGUGUGGCAGCCGGACUCAGGGCCGAUCCCUCACCGGUUGCCCUCGCCUCUCUCCCGCGUCUCGGUAAGCCGGGUGAGCUAUUUUCCCCGGCCAAUGCUGCGGGGCUCGGGGGGGAGGCGGGGUUGCGAUGGUGUCCGUAAAAAAGAGCCUGCUGUUGCAGGGGGGCGCAGGCCCGGGACUUGCCAGGACGCCGCGAGACUGUCACUUUGCUGUGAGGCUCCAGGGCCGAUCAGCGGGUCAUGCGUGCAGUCGGCAAGUACCAUGAGCAGACAUGUUGGGACCCGAAAGAUGGUGAACUAUGCCUGGCCAGGAUGAAGCCAGAGGAAACUCUGGUGGAGGUCCGUAGCGAUUCUGACGUGCAAAUCGAUCGUCGGAGCUGGGUAUAGGGGCGA
rnacentral:rRNA from 1 species